CAAGGUUUCCGUAGGUGAACCUGCGGAAGGAGGUCAUUA
rnacentral:rRNA from 1 species